rnacentral:rRNA from 1 species
UACGUAGGGUGCAAGCGUUGUCCGGAAUUAUUGGGCGUAAAGAGCUCGUAGGCGGUCUGUCACGUCGGCUGUGAAAACCCGAGGCUCAACCUCGGGCCUGCAGUCGAUACGGGCAGACUAGAGUUCGGUAGGGGAGACUGGAAUUCCUGGUGUAGCGGUGAAAUGCGCAGAUAUCAGGAAGAACACCCGUGGCGAAGGCGGCUCUCUGGGACGGUACUGACGCUGAGACGCGAAAGCGUGGGGAGCAAACAGG